UUUUUCCACACAAUUUUGAGAACUAUUUCUCUCUCUUCUAUUUUCUUUCUUCCCUUCCAAGUUUUCUUCCUUUCUUUUUCUCUCUCUUUCUUUUUCUCUCUUUCUCUCGUGUGCAUGCAUGCCCAGCCGAUCGAACUCGCCAUCUCUUCGUCGUUGUGUGCCUCGAGGCACUGUCGUGGGUGCUGCUGCCUUUCCCCGCGCACAACCCCUCUCCCUCUCUCUUGCUAGCCGUGCACAACCCUGCACUACGCGCGCGCCCAGCCACCGCAAGCAAGCACGGAGCUUGUUGCCCUUGCUCGUUCUCGUGCACUUCCAUCACUCGUGUGCUUUCCCUUUUGUGCCAGAUUACCUCAAAUUAGUAUUGGUACCGUGCUAUAGGCUGGUAUGGAGGAGAUCUGUAAAGUAGUAGCUUGAAUCGCAAAGUGGCCCCCGUUCUUAGAACUUCAAGAAAUUUGAUAACAGGUUGGUAGAGAUGACUUGCAAGAGAAGUUAUCUUGCAUGGGGCUGGUUGAGCGAGUUUCUUUUUCUCUUGCACCAUUUCAAACUCUAUUUAUUUUCAUUUGCCUAAACUAUAAUGUUUUAAUUAGUUAAUGGAUUUGGUUUUACGGUAUUUGAUUUGGGACGUGAUGCUUCCAACUUGUAUGGAGACCGUUAACAGUCUUUUAUUGUUUUCAAAGUUUAUUUAUUCCGCUGCGUAACUUUGGUAAUUAAAUAGCCUUAACCGUUAUCACGGUGGCGGUAAUACUUUAGUAAUUCCUUAUUUAGAGUUAGAAAAAGGGUUCAUUCUAGUAAGGAAUUAUUAGGGUGUUACAAAUUUCUCUGUUUUUCCUAUACUUAUUGUCCGUAUUUCAUGUCAUGUGUCAACAGAUACAUUCGGUAUGUCGUUUACGUUGAUUGUCGUCAGUCCUCAGCCACCCAAUCUUCUCAUUGUCAAAGUCACGGGUACUUUUAAUAAAGUUUGUCUUAGGCUUGAUUAUGAUGUUAGCAACUUUGAGUUUUUAAUUCUGGAACUUGAUUUGGUGUUGUAUCGAGGGUAUUCUUUUAUUUAUUUUGACUAUUGAUGGCACCAAGGUUUUGAAUAAUUUUGUCGCUUGAAUUCGGUUAAUGUGGAAGACAUUUGAGAAAAUGAAGUAUACAAUUUUGUGAGAGUUAAGGUACAUCAUAACAUCUUCAUAUCCUUUGAUAUAAUUAGUAUUGGACUUUAUGUUGUUAUUCAUGAUAAAUGCAGUAAGUAUAAUAACAAAGGUAAGCGAUAACUUCCUUUUAAUCAAAAAUUAUGUAUGAGUAGUAAGGUAUGAAGUAAAUUGUAGUUGAACUUUUCUACUUCAUAUUGCACAAAUUUUCUAUUCUUUAGAGUACUAUUUAGAAAACAUAAUGACAAAUACAUGGAAAUGAUUAUAUAUACUUCGUAUAUUACUUGAAUAAUCAUUAAGGAAAAGAGUGAUUCUGUAACACCCCGUAUUUUUAAACCUCUUUUAUUAUUCUGUAAUUACGAUUAUUAACGUGAUUACGUCCUAAAUUUUUCCGAUUAUUUUAAUUUAUCUUAUUAUGUUCACGUUUUUAUUGUGACAUGAUACAUAAUAUUUAAUCCCAUUUGUUGAUAUCCCAUAAUCUGAUUUUUCUAGCUAAAGUAUGGAAUUUACGUUUUUAUCCUUGGUCAAUUAGAUUACCAAAAUUCAUUUCUCUUCUCCUUUCUUCCAUACAUGUAAAUGGUGGAAAUUGCCACCAAUAUUUUGACUCCUCUUAAUUUCUUCCUAAAAUCUGUCCAAAUUCACAACAAAUUUAAUUCUCUCUUCUCCUUCCUUGCGUGGCUAGCAAUUUGAUUGCCAGAUGUUGAAUAAUUUCUCCUAUUUCCAUGACUCACCAUGUUAAGAAAUUCCUAUAAAUAGCCAUUGAAAUUCCAUUGUUCUUCAAGCUAAAAACCAAUUAAUGUUUCUUAUUGUAUUUUUAAGCUUAAUUCGUUUCCCCUCUAUUUAUUUCCUUGAAUUUUCACCAUUAAUGGAUACCCAUUUUCUCUCUCCUCCAUUUGACCACCGCGGUGCCUCCACUGCUGCCACCACCUGUGCCGGCGAAUCCUUCCUUCGCCGUGUCCAUCCACCACUGCCCAGAACCCCAAUACAGUCGCCGGAGUCCACCCGACUCUGCUGCACCGUGCGCCGCCGGGGUAAUGGAGUUGUUGGCUCUAUUUCCUCUUUUGAUGGUGUGUGCUACUGCUUCUAUUCUUUAUCUUGACAAAAACAUCCAAAAAUAAAAGGAGUUUGUUAGUGGGCCAUGGGUUAUUUCUUAAAUAAGCUUAAUGUAUGGGAUUAGUCAAAUUAUAUCAAGGAAAGUAAUUUUAGGCCAAUGUAAGUUUGUCACUUUUUAAAUGGACAUUUAUUUAAAGGUUCUUUUAAGCAAAAUUAUUAACUUUGUUGUUUUAUGAUCUUGAAGUUCCUUGGGAAUUAGAUGGCGAAGUCAAUUAUUGUGAUUUUGGGAGUAGAGUUUCGUACUAAAUUUAGCAUACGAAAUUUCAAAUGAGGUAAUUAUUAUGUCUAGCAUUUUAGCCUACAUGCAUGUAUAUGUUAUGUAAUUUUUAUGUCCAGCGUUUAUAUUUAUGCCCGUAUAUAAAAAUAUUUUAAGGUGUAAUUUUUAUGUCCAACACUUAUUUAUAUGCCCGUAUGAUGUUUUAAGGUGUAUGUAAUAUCCCAAUAUUUUAUUAUUUCAUAAAAAUAUUUUUUUUAAGUUAAAAUAAAAGUAUAUUUAUUUAUUAAGAAAGUUUCCUAAUUUGUCAAGUCUUUCUUAUAAUUUACGACAAAUUUAAAACCCAUUUAAAUUAUUUUAGGACUCUUAUUUUGAGCGUAUAAAUAGUCUUACUCUAAACCCUAAUAUUAAUUUCCUAGAAAAAAAAACUAUAGUGCAGCCUUUAGGUUUUUUUUUUCUUGUUCUUCCGUAAGCUGUGUGAGAUAAUUGUUUACCAAUCAACCUUUUUAAUUAAUCCUCUUAUUUUGAUCCUCAUUGUCAUCAAUUCCAGGCCCAUUGUUGGGUUUCGUAGCAUUGCAGUUUUGGUCAAAGAGUUGGAAUUUUACUCCAUUAUUGAUGUCCGAGUACUUUGUUCCGUAAAGUAAUCACACACGCUUAAUUAGUUCCUCGAGUUGUUUGGGUAAUUAUUGUAAUCUUACUCGUUAUUUUGGAGCCGUAUGUUUAAAUGCGUACUAUUGUUUAUUAAUCAUGUUUGGUUCGAAGUUGUGAAAUAAUUACCCGUAUCAUGUUUUUGAUUUGCAUAUAUGCAUUGAUUUGUCCUUUAUAUGAAGGUGAUUAUGGUGAUGAUAUUUUGACAAGUUUGAUUUGUUGAUUUGGUUAUUAAUUAGAUGUCUUUUUGUUUCAGUUUGUUUGCUAGUAAUUAACUUACUUUGUUUUAUAUUGAAAUAGCAUACCAGUUAUGCUAAUGUAGCUUCGAGGUUAAUCUGCAUAGCUUGUGGUAUUAGAGUUUGAGUAUGUUAGUUUUGGGGAUUGAUCAAGUAUCGUUCUUUGUAUUUAGUCUUGUUCGCUUGCCGCCAAAAAAAAAAAGGAUUAGAGAUUAUGUUAUUAUUUUGGGAUAUUGUGCCAUUAUUGAGAAGUAUAUUAUUGGCCCUAAGUGAGUUUGGAUCGUAUUAUGAGAUCACAAGGUCAAAGUUGAUAAUGAUGAUUAUAUUAUUGGUUUGAGGCUCGACGUUAUAGACCUUAGUCCUUGGCAUGUUGGUAAGAAGAUGAUAACCAUUAGUAGAGGAGCAAGAUGCAAUCUUUAUUUUCUUAGUAUCCCCGACAGUGGGAUUUGGUCCAAUAGUGGCCUUGACUCAGACAGUCUUUUUAGUAGCUAUUGAGAGUUUCAAGUUUUUAUACUUGUUGGUUUAUUAUUCGAAUUACCCAUGUCCAAGGCUAGGUAUAGAACAAAGAGAAAAUAUGACACCUAUUGGUUUGAGUACGUUUAGUAGAGGAAAAGAUCAUAUUAAUAUAUUUGAGGAUCAUAUGAAGAGUAAAUUUAUAGUUCCCAUAGAGUAUGGAGUUAGUUUUAUCUUUGGGAUCAUACUUGAAAUGUAGUUUCAUACUACAUUGUUUACAUGAGCCUUUAUUAUUCUAUAUUAGUAUGUUUCUGUUUGUCACAGGUGAUUACUCAGCUUUUUGCUUACGUGUGUGUUUAUUUGCUAUGUGUGUUUGUGGCCAUGUCUUUUUCUUAUGGUGGCCCUACGAAGAUCCUUUUGGAAUUUGUCCUCUAUGGUGAGCAGUUAAGAUUGACAAGAGCAGAUUGAUCGUGAAAUAUCGCAGUUCAAGUUGAAGGAGUUCAAGUGUUAUCGUCAGGUCUUUUAUGACAGUUUAAUACUUUUCAACUGUAUAUAGAUCACCUAGUAAUUGAGUUGUAAUAGUUUAAGUUGUGUAAGCCUUAGCACUUGACAAUGUGGUCAAGUGUGGCGGUGAUACCUCCGAUUUAGGUGUAAGCUUCCGCUAUUGUUUCUAUAAAGUCUUUUAUAUUUUUAAUUAUUUAAAGUUAGUAAAUUGGGGGUGUCACAGUGUAACUAUUAUGUCCAACAUUUAAGCUAUAUACGCACGUAUGUGUUUUAUAUGUGA